CUACGGGUGGCAGCAGUGAGGAAUAUUGCACAAUGGGGGGAACCCUGAUGCAGCAACGCCGCGUGGAGGAUGACGCAUUUCGGUGUGUAAACUCCUUUUAUAUGUCAAGAAAAUGACGGUAGCAUAUGAAUAAGCACCGGCUAACUCCGUGCCAGCAGCCGCGGUAAUACGGAGGGUGCAAGCGUUACUCGGAAUCACUGGGCGUAAAGGACGCGUAGGCGGGUUGGAAAGUCAGGUGUGAAAUCCUACAGCUUAACUGUAGAACUGCACUUGAAACUUCUAAUCUAGAGUAUGGGAGGGGGAGGUGGAAUUAGUAGUGUAGGGGUAAAAUCCGUAGAUAUCACUAGGAAUACCUAAAGCGAAGGCGAUCUCCUGGAACAUUACUGACGCUAAGGCGUGAAAGCGUGGGGAGCAAACAGGAUUAGAUACCCCUGUAGUC
rnacentral:rRNA from 1 species